UUGGUGUUUCCUUACCUCACAAAGUAACUUUAAUACAAGUACCUAAAAUAGCUCAGUUGUGACAAGGUAGGCCAAAGCAGCUAAUUUAGCUGAGUGUGGUGGGUAGUACUAGUGCUAGCCCUUGGAAGGCUGAGAGGCAGGAGGAUUACUGACAUGCAUUUCAGGCUGUUUCAGUUACUUAGCAGGAGCCUGACUCAAACAAAACCAAACCAAACCAGAAACCAGAAACCACAGGACACUUACUGCACUUUAAAUCUCACCCUCCCACUGUAACUCAGAACUGUGGCAGCGCUUCAGGGGUCCGGUACUUUCCGGAACUGUGCUCCUUUCUUCAGUGUUCAGAUAACUCUUCAUAAAGUCUGUGGGAAUGUAUUACAACUUAAAAAAUCUGUCUUAUUAUAUAUACAAUUAUUUACAUAGCUUCAAACCAAUUUCAGGGUUUUUUUUUCCUCAGAACUUGAUGUUAACUUGAACAUACAUGAAUUCAUGUUGUACUAAAGGCUUAAAUGCUACUAUAAAGCUAGCUUUUUAAAAAAGAGCUUUAUUUAACUGUAUUUCUGAUAGUUUUACCUUCCCUUGGCAGUUGUGUAACGACCACGAAGUUCUUCCGUUCAUCAAAUAUAAAGUGUUUGACGCGAAAGGUAAGUGAGCUCUUGGGAAGUUUUCAAGUUUUGCAGGAAGAUUGCUGACACGUAAGCAACCACUGGGUUUGUGUCUGUUUUGGUUUAGCUUCCGCGAAAACUCUGUCUGGGCUAUUGGAGUGGAAGUGCAAAACUGAUGCCGUGGAAGCUCUCACUGCGCUCAAUCACUACCAGAUACGAGUCCCGAGUAAGUGAUCCAGCAGGCCCUGCCUUCAGAAGAGGGUGACGAGGUGCUGGGGGUGGGGCGUGGGGGUAACCGGCUUCUUCAGAGACGCAGCUCUGCGCUGACUUGACAGUAUUCAGAGCAGAUUUUGGUAGGGUUGAAGCUAUCUCCAAAGGAUUGUUCAGAAACCUAAAUGAAACCACAGGGAGGUCCCUGAGGGCUUAGUAGGAUUACAAUUAAAACUGCAGGAUGUGAAGAAAGCAGGUCAGUUGUUUCACUGUAGACACAGUUACUAGUCUGUCUGAGAUUGCCAGGAGGUGGUUGGGGAAGGAAAUAUGACUCUACCCAGAGUUACAUACAUUUUGGUCUGGUUCAUUGCUGUCAUAACAUGAAUAUCUAAUAUGUGAUGGAAUUAUCUCUUGUCAGUAACUUUCCCGGCAAAUACUGAUUAUGCUGGAGAUCGUUUCUCAGCUGUUGGUAGGCUUCAACCAAACUGGCACGAGGGACACAGACAGGUUUUUACUCUUUGUCCUGAUUGGUCUGAAACUCAGUGUUUAGACCAACCAGUCUGGCUUGGAACUUGUCUGCACCUAGCUGUGACCAGCUUGUGUAGCUACUACCUGGCUAAGAGCUGGCUUUUUUCAAUGUAUAGGUCAGUUUCCUUAGUACAGGACAUUAAUGUGUAUUUUUUGACAAAAUGUUGUUAGAUUAUCCUUUAAGAAGGUUGUUUUGGUAACAGAACCACGGUAUAUUACACUGACCAUGGCCCAGUAUUGUAUGACCAUUGGCUCAUACAUCUUCAGUUUUUACCUGG
rnacentral:lncRNA from 1 species